GCAACUAUUCGACGUUUGUUUUUCAUCUCAAACACAAAUAUUUACAAUAUAAAUGUAAUGGCAGAAAAUAAAAAUGUGUGCCCAAAAAUUAUAAAAAUAACUGCAUUGGUUCUAGCAUUUAUAUUGUUAGUCAAAACAUUUCUUUGUUUUCUUUUGUCAUUUGUCAUACUCGAAGAACCGCCUGAGGACUGGCCACAAAGGCUUAAAGAUGACUGCCAUCCCAAAUGGUAUAGUUGAAUCUCACUAAUUCUGAACGCAGUUGGUGUUGUGGUCUAUUCUUAUAUGUAUUUUGGUAUUCUAUAUACACACAAAUUUAACCUCUUGGUGGGACUUAUUGGGGUAACUGCUUACCUCAUAGUUUCCGUAACAGCUCACAUAAUACUGUGGAUAGAACAAACAAGGCCACAUACGAUGAUGCAAUUAAAUUGGAUGGGAACCGCUUUGUCCGUCGUUUGCAGUCCAUUAUCCUACAUUCACUAUCGAAGAAUUAUUUUCGAUGAGCGAAUGCAAGAAAUGGAGGAGAGCAAAUCAGCAGAAAGUAAGCAGAAUGUCGAAUAAUUGUUCUAAUAAAUUUCAAUAAAUUACAU